AUCUAUUAUUUAAUACAUACAUUAGAUGUAGUAUAAAAACAUGUUGAUAUGAUCAACAUGUAGUUCAUGCUAUAUUUAUAUAUUUUAAUUUCUGAUUUAAUACCAUGUAAUAAUCAUGUAAUAGGAUCUUAGAUCUAGGGAUUUUCUAGUUUUAGAAAAUAAAUUUUGAUUUAUUUUAGUCUUCCGCUGUAUGAUCUUGAAAAAGUUUCAAGAUCUAACCCUCUUUUUCAAGAUCUAACCCUGAAACCCU
rnacentral:lncRNA from 1 species